ACAACAACAAUAACAAACCAGAAACACCACAAUAAAAAUAAGACGAAACGACUCCAGCACAAUAAAAACAACAAGGCGGAGGCGCAGCUAACUGAUCAUUUUGGAGAGGAUUUGCCCUUGGGGUUCGCCCCACAGCCAGGCCGAGAACAAUAAGACUGUCUCAAGACAGUGCCUGAACUGGUUGGAUCACGGAUUGAUCAAGGCAACAUCAGCAUUCAAAGUAAUCCGUUUGCUCCUGGUACCCCAAUUGGGCUACCAAAAACGGGCCAACCAACAAAAACAACAGGCUCGCAAUAAUAACAAAAACAAAGCACGCACCUACUUGGGGGGGAGCUUCGGCUCCCCCAGUAGCUUCCGCAUCCCCAGCCUGCCAUU
rnacentral:sRNA from 1 species